rnacentral:rRNA from 1 species
AACGAACGCUGGCGGCAUGCCUAACACAUGCAAGUCGAACGAAGGCUUCGGCCUUAGUGGCGCACGGGUGCGUAACGCGUGGGAAUCUGCCCCUCGGUUCGGAAUAACAGUUAGAAAUGACUGCUAAUACCGGAUGAUGACUUCGGUCCAAAGAUUUAUCGCCUAAGGAUGAGCCCGCGUAAGAUUAGCUUGUUGGUGAGGUAAAAGCUCACCAAGGCGACGAUCUUUAGCUGGUCUGAGAGGAUGAUCAGCCACACUGGGACUGAGACACGGCCCAGACUCCUACGGGAGGCAGCAGUGGGGAAUAUUGGACAAUGGGCGAAAGCCUGAUCCAGCAAUGCCGCGUGAGUGAUGAAGGCCUUAGGGUUGUAAAGCUCUUUUACCAGGGAUGAUAAUGACAGUACCUGGAGAAUAAGCUCCGGCUAACUCCGUGCCAGCCGCCGCCGUAA